GCCGAGGGGGAGCCGCGGGGGUUUCCCUGCCGCGGGGGAGACGCCGCCGCACCCAGGCGGGACAGCGGGGUCCGGGACAGCCGGGAGCGGGAGCCGCGCAGGGAAGCUCGUGCCGUGCCGUGCGCGGCUGCGAUGCAUGGAAACAGGCCGAAAGGAGCGGGACGGCUGCCGGGAGGGAGCUCCGCACGGAGCAGCUCGGCGGGGACAGUGACAAACCCCGCCGAGCGUCGAAGUUUGUCGGCGGAGCGGUGGGAGGUGAGCGACUCCGGUGCUUGGCUGCGGAGGCACAGCUGCAAAGAGCGCCUUCUCACACGGCACCCACUCUUGGCAACCCGCCCCCACCCCAGUCCUCUGAUUCUCGAUCUCAUAAAAGAUAAAAACCAUCUGCAUUAAUGGGCAGCAACAGGUAAAACUGUAAGGGCUGUCCAGAUGUCUCAGGCCCAGUGUUUGAAUUAAAUCAUACAGCAAUAGUAAUGAAACGCAGCAAAGGAAGCCAUAUAUUGCCUCACAUUUAAAAAUAACUUGUUCUGCUUUCUGACAAGUGAAGUAGCAGCAGGCCUCUGAGCUGGGUGUCUGCCACUUUUGUACUCACUGCAGUAGUGACCCCAUCUUCUGCUGCUUCGUUCUGCAGUUACAACGCAGAUUCUGUUCAUAUUUAGUAUUUAAUAAGCUCCUCCAGCAACUAAAAUUGUCCUGAGAGGGAAGACAUGUAUGCCCACACGACUCCCAACAUGCAUAAGGCCCCAGCAUGAGCAAUUUACUUAGAGCAAAAUGGGUUUGCCAGUGUGGGCAGUGGUCCUCCCGAGAUUAAGCAGUACAUAGCUCUGGACUUUUGUUAAGCCAUCUUGUGGUAGCAGUAAAAGGUAUUACGUGUCCCACCACGCUUUAUCUCAUGUCAUUAGAUAUCAAAGCUACAACACUGGCUACUGCCACAAGAGUGAAAUGCUAGCUGCUGAGGAAAAAAAAAGGAAAAUGUGUUCUACUUUUAAACAGCUGUUUGGUUUUUUUUCUCCUUACAGUUCCCAUUCGGAAGCAUGCAAAGCCCUGUGGAGGAAGGUUCCAGUAACUUCUUCACUUCCUAGUUAGAAAUACGCAGUUUUACCUGCUGGUUCUUUAGUUCUUUAUUUCUUUUGAAAGUGUGUAUGUGACUGGGGCCCUGCUGAUCUGAGUUUAGGGCAGUGAAACAGAAAUAACUUUAAAUGAAUACAAGUAGAAUAACAGAUAUAUUUUCUAUCCAGCAAUACAGGUGUCAUCUGUGAAGCACUGGGACAAAGUCAGCCUAACUCUACUGCAUUGGAAGUUUCUAUUACAGUUCUCAUGCUAUUUAUUUUGUCUUUUUAGAUGCAUUGUGUAUGAUGAUGAAAAAAAGUACUGACAACUCCUUAAUAAAUGAAAAUUAAUGGCUAAUUAAGGAUUCAACUCACAGUUUUGUCUUUGGAAGUCAUUCUGCAGAUCUUCCCUUGAGGAUCAGCACUGAAAUCUCAGAGAGCAGGUAGGCAUUUUGCCAGAAUCACUCCUUAUCUGGUUUUACCUUACAUUAAAGGGCAACUCUGACAUGUAACACACAGUUGCCAUGACAGUUUUAAGUAAACUGGACAAAACAGAACUUUCUCUCAGCUCUACUCCCUCUUACUGCCUCUGUUCACAAAUGAGGUCUGGGUUAUGAGUUUAAACCAAACCAUUGCAGUUACUACAAAAUCUUGAAAUGUUUGUGCAAACAUAGUCAUAUCCUUCAGAGUUAAAAUAGAUACAUCAAAUAUCAAUUAAGAAUUUCUAUCACCACUGAAGCUUUUUGACUGGUGAGAAAUCACUGAUGAAAUUUUAAUUCUGGCUAUAUUUCUAGUCACACUAUCAGUUGGCACUUGGAUCAUUUCAAUGCCUUUGAUUCUUUUUAUUCCCAGGGAUGGAAAAGAGCAUACAGGAUUUUAAUGACACAUUUUAUCUGUGUAGAUAAAAUGCAGAGUUGCUAGCCAUUCUUCCUUCUCACAACUGGAUAAAUUUAGCAGGCAGCAGACAGCCUGACCUAUGUUGUGUAGGCCAAAUGCAAUUUGCAGACAAGUGUAGGUUUUUAAAUAAUAUCUUGGCUUCCCUUACACUGAAAUCUUAUGACUGACAGAUAAUCAAGAAGAAAACCAUGUGAUUGAGAAGGGAAUUAGCUGUCUGCUGAUAAAUCUUCUGCAAGGCACAUAUGUAAGUAACCACACACAUUUUAUUUACAAGGAGAAAUAAAGAAGGUUUUUUUAAGCUGUGAGGUUUCUCUGCUACCAUAUAUUAUGAACCAAAUAAGCUUUUGAAGACUAGAAGGGAAUCCAAAUCUUCUUAAUCCAAGAAUAAAAGGUUCACCAGUAGUUUUAAAUGAGGAAAGCUUUAAAUAACUUCAUAAAAUAAUCACAACCUUUCACUCACCAUGUAAUUUCUGGAAAAAAAAAUCCUUAGGUAAUUUGUAUUUGAAAGUAAUUUUCAAAGGUAUCUGUUUUGAAAGUCAUAUUCUGUCAUACUUCUGCUUGAUUCAAAGUUAUUUAAAUAGGAGUACCAACUUCAUUUGUUAAACUAACAAGUUGCAGAUGAUGUCAGUAGACAGGAAAGGAGGGAGGAAAUUCCUUGCUUGUAGCACUGGUGUCUUGACAAUUCUUCUGUGGAUUUAAUCUCUGUAUCAUUUAAUACUAUUUAGAAGCCCGGAUUUUAAUAAGAGAGAGGAAUGGCCUAAUCUGAGGAGAAUAAAACCCAAACAACCACAGUCUGCUGAGAAGCAAGAAGCGUUUGUUACCUUCAGCCAGAGAUUUGUGAUGCCCUCAGCAGGUCAAGCACUGAGCACUAAGGGGGUGCUGUCUGGGCUCCUGCUUUGGAGCCUGUUGGAUCUGAGAAACCUGUUAAGAUAAUGUGUUCCAGGCACAUUUCUUCAGCUUCAGACCUGAGAGACAGACCUACAGUAACCAAAAGCAACCUUGUGAUGUGAGAGGCUGUUAGACUGAUCUGACAGGAUCAUCAGAAUUCUUGGUAGUAUAUAUUGUACUCUGAAAAAGAAAUUUAAAAAAGCGAGCUCCUACUCUCAGUUUACAAAACAUGUACAGUUGGAUCAUUUAUUUAUUUAUUUAUUUAAACUUUCAGGUGGUUUUUUUUUCUGCACAAUGUCACUUUUUCAUACAUAAUAAUGAUACAAUCUCAGUCUUAGUUUUGGUAGCCUUCAGUAUCAAAAGUAUAACCGUAACAUUUAAAAAGUUACAUUUACAUAGGUGGCACAUUGAGGUCUAGUAGUAACAACUAUACAAUGUCUAGAAAAAUACUAUGUUAAUUUUAAAAGAGGCAGUAUGAAAUUUUAUUAUAUAGUACAAAGGUUAAAAAUGUCCCUAAAGAUGGCAUUAUUAUAAAUAAUCAAUUGAUCUCGAUUUAUAUUGUGUCAAUUCUAGGAGAAAUGUUCAAAAAUUCCUCACCCCUCUUGCAAGCUUUUAUCAAAAGUGAAUAAUCCUCAAGGUACUUUACACAACAGAAUUCACUUUAAUGAAGUAUUUACUGCAAAGUUCGUGAUCUCCAGGAUAUAAAGCUAAAAUACGUAUUUCCAGCAUAGCAGGAGGUGACCACGAAGGCAAAGAACUGUUGAGAGAGAGGAAAAAUUUAUUAGGAAAUAAAUAUAUUUGAGAGCACUGUAAUUUCUAAGGGAAAAAAAAAUAGUUAUGGGACUUGGGAAAAAGGAAAAUAACAAGCUGACACAAAUGGCACACUCUCACCUCAUGCUUGUGUGGCCAUCACAGCCAACACUGUGUAAAAGUAAGCUUACAUUAUGCCUAGAAAUACAGGCUUGUAGCAGACAAAGCAUGACAUAUUUCAACUUUUUAAAUAAAUUCCUCAUCAUAUGGCCUCAGUAUGAUCUUUCAGAUUGGACUGCCACCAAUCUAAAUACUUGCCACUUUUAGAGGCUGAGGAAUUGUCUGUGGGACAAUGUGAGCUCGAGCUAAGACUCCUGUCCUGCUGCUGUGUUCCAGACAUUGCCUACAGCCACCUGUACCUCAGCAUGGCUCACAGUGCAUCUGUUUGCUUACAGAGAAAGCCUGGAUCCAAAUGCAGGCCCAGACAAGCUCUCAAACAGCACUGCUGGUUGGGUUACCAAUUCCAGAGGUCCUCUACUGAUGGAUACAGAUAUUCCUCAGUGACAGCAACCACUCCGUCAUAUCACUACGCUGUCAGAAAUCGGUAACAUUAUAAGCCUUCUGUAGCAGGCUAGAUUUAUUUCACUUGUACUGAUAAAGUCCAAUUCAGCACUAGUGCUUAAGUUCCUGUUAAUCACUGCACGUUGUUCAAAGCAGACAGUAUUCAACAUGGUCUUAACAAAAAUACCAGAAUGUUUUGUGCUAGUAACUGAAUCGAGUAAACAUGUCACUGCAAAUAAGAUUAACACCACUUUUCUAAGAGUUGAGCAAUGACAGGACAAGAAGGAACAAACACAAGUUAUAGGCAGGAAAUUUCAAUUAGAUAUUAGGAAACAAAAGCCCCAACCCACAGUGUGAGUAAUCAAACACAGGCAUUGUGGAAUGGCCAUAUUUGGAAAUACUCAAAUUCAAGUGGACAAGGCCCUGGUAGCCUGAUAUGAGUUAGCCCAGCUGUAGGAGUGGAGAGAGUUGGACCAGAUGACUUCCAAGAAUUCCCUUCCAGCCUAAAAAUAUUUUAUGAUUCUACAGUUGUUCCUGGCUUAUGUGCCAUCAUUGGCAUGGGUAGGCACUGCUGAGCACAGUAGGCACUGUGAUGCUCACAUGCUGAGCAUCCAGGCAGUAAAUCUAAGCCUUUCAAGAGAGGGCUCUUGGUGAGCAUUGUCUAAUGAAAAUUUAAUCUCUAACUCCACAAAAUUGUAGAUGAUGAUGUAAAAUCUUAUUACAAUAAAAUACUGUAGCAUUCUUCUUUUUCCAA